GAAUCGAGAUUGCUUAUCUUCAAGAGGCAAUCUUCUAUUGUAGUUCAUCUUUUUUAUUCCUCACAUCUGCCUUUAUUUUCUAAAUACAUGAGGAAGACAAAGUUACUGAGAUUCAACUAGAGAACGAUCAUCGAAAGACAGUAAUUACCACUCCGAUGUUCAGUAGUAGACUUAUUCCUAAUUAGUUUAAAACAGUGUAUCAGAAAAACUCGACCACAACGCUUAGGAUAAACAACAACCAGUUCAUGCUGUCGAUCGAGGCAUUCGGGUAGGAUUUUUUAAAAAGAAAACGAAACAUCAUCAUCCAUCCCUCAGAAGAACGUUAAAGUAGAGCAGGUAAUCCAACAGCUUUCAAACUAAUCAUACGGAUAAUCCCGGAACUACAGAUUGAAUUUCAUACUCACGUGCUUAAUGUUUUCAUCGUAAUAACAGUCGAAGACAGUUGAACUGAAUUCAACUGCUUAAGCUACAUGUCGCGGCCGUUUGUAAUAACUUAAUUAUCCAUUCUUACCGUCAAACAAGAACAUUUUAGAUGUAUAGUUUGAUCUUCUUCAAAACUAUGGGCAUCAGCGUAACGCGUCGAUUGACGUCUAAUCCUGUUUAACAGAAAACAAACCAGGCCGAACGUUUAAAACUAGUUUAAUUUGUUUCAUUGUAAACCAUAUGCCAAUUAAAUUUUUUAUCGAUUCUGCUCUUUGA